GCCGACGUGGUGGAAUUGGUAGACACGCUAGACUUAGGAUCUAGUGCCGCAAGGUGUAAGAGUUCGAGUCUCUUCGUCGGUA
rnacentral:tRNA from 1 species